rnacentral:rRNA from 1 species
CCUACGGGUGGCAGCAGUGAGGAAUAUUGGUCAAUGGGCGGAAGCCUGAACCAGCCAAGUCGCGUGAGGGAUUAAGGCCCUGCGGGUCGUACACCUCUUUUGCCGGGGAGCAGAGGUCCGGACGUGUCCGGGCCGGGAGAGUACCCGGAGAAAAAGCAUCGGCUAACUCCGUGCCAGCAGCCGCGGUAAUACGGAGAAGGCGAGCGUUAUCCGGAGUUAUUGGGUUGAAAGGGUGCGUAGGCGGUGCGAUACGUUAGAGGUGAAAUCCCGGGGCUCAACUCCGGCACUGCCUCUGAUACUGGCGGGCUAGAGUUUAGUUGCGGUAGGCGGAAUGUGUGGUGUAGCGGUGAAAUGCAUAGAGAUCAUACAGAACACCGAUUGCGAAGGCAGCUUACCAAACUACGACUGACGUUGAGGCACGAAAGCGUGGGGAGCAAACAGGAUUAGAUACCCUUGUAGUC